rnacentral:rRNA from 1 species
CGUGUAGGCGGAGCUGCAAGUCAGAUGUGAAAUCUAGGGGCUCAACCCCUAAACUGCAUUUGAAACUGUAGCCCUUGAGUAUCGGAGAGGCAAGCGGAAUUCCUAGUGUAGCGGUGAGAUGCGUAGAUAUUAGGAGGAACACCAGUGGCGAAGGCGGCUUGCUGGACGACAACUGACGCUGAGGCGCGAAGCGUGGGAGCAAACA